rnacentral:rRNA from 1 species
UGGGGAAUAUUGGACAAUGGGCGCAAGCCUGAUCCAGCCAUGCCGCGUGAGUGAUGAAGGCCUUAGGGUUGUAAAGCUCUUUCGCCGACGAAGAUAAUGACGGUAGUCGGAGAAGAAGCCCCGGCUAACUUCGUGCCAGCAGCCGCGGUAAUACGAAGGGGGCUAGCGUUGUUCGGAAUCACUGGGCGUAAAGCGCACGUAGGCGGAUUGUUAAGUCAGGGGUGAAAGCCUGGAGCUCAACUCCAGAACUGCCCUUGAUACUGGCAAUCUCGAGUCCGGAAGAGGUAAGUGGAACUGCGAGUGUAGAGGUGAAAUUCGUAGAUAUUCGCAAGAACACCAGUGGCGAAGGCGGCUUACUGGUCCGGUACUGACGCUGAGGUGCGAAAGCGUGGGGAGCAAAACAGGAUUAGAUACCCUGGUAGUCCACGCCGUAAACGAUGGAGGCUAGCCGUUGGCGAGCAUGCUCGUCAGUGGCGCAGCUAACGCAUUAAGCCUCCCGCCUGGGGAGUACGGUCGCAAGAUUAAAAAGCUUAAAUGAAUUGACGGGGUCAUAGCUGUUUCCUG